GAUCCUGGCUCAGGACGAACGCUGGCGGCGUGCCUAACACAUGCAAGUCGUGCGAAGCAGUCGUCGUUCAUCAGUGGUCGGUGGUUGGAAAAAAGAACUGACGACUGACUACCGACGACCGACGACUGCUUAGCGGCGGACGGGUGAGUAACGCGUGGGUGACCUACCUGUAAGACCGGGAUAACCCUGGGAAACCGGGGCUAAUACCGGAUACGCUAUCAGGUUUAGAGACCUGAUAGGAAAGGUGGCUUAAGCGGAAGCUGCUACCGCUUACAGAUGGGCCUGCGUCCUAUUAGCUAGUUGGUAGGGUAAUGGCCUACCAAGGCGACGAUGGGUAGCCGGCCUGAGAGGGUGGACGGCCACACUGGGACUGAGACACGGCCCAGACUCCUACGGGAGGCAGCAGUGGGGGAUAUUCCGCAAUGGGCGAAAGCCUGACGGAGCGACGCCGCGUGGGGGAAGAAGGCCUUCGGGUUGUAAACCCCUGUCUUCUGGGACGAAGUUCACUCAUUCGAAGAGGGUGAGUGGAUGACGGUACCGGAGGAGGAAGCCCCGGCUAACUACGUGCCAGCCGCCGCGGUAAUAC
rnacentral:rRNA from 1 species